rnacentral:tRNA from 1 species
GCCUCGGUAGUUUAAAUGGUUAAAACCUUAAUUUCAUACGUUAAAGAUGAGAAUUCGAUUUUCUCCCAAGGCU